CAGCUUCCUUCUCCAUUGCUGCAGCUAUCAGAAGAAUCAAUAUUUCUGUUCCUUCCAUGGAAAUUCUACUCAUCUCUGCCUCUUCUACAAAAGGGCAAAAAAUAACAGAAAAUGGUAAUCAGCAUGCAUUUAGGUCAUCAGUGAAAACAAAAAGAAUACAUAAUCCACCUGCCUUGAUUUGGGACCAUGUAAAUUACAUCAGCGGCAGUCAUAGAAUUUGUCAGGCUACCAGAAAUCAUCCCUCAGGACCAUAAUCCAGUUCUCGGCGGACACAACAUCUUUGUUGGUAUGUGGUGCUGAGUAUCGAACCCGGGCCGCACGCAUGCCAGGCGAGCGCGCUACCGCUUGAGCCACAUCCCCAGCCCGGCUGCUGUGGUACUUUUAAAUCACUAGUCUGACUUGGCUCUCUCAUGCUUAUGACCCUCAGUGGCUCUUCAUUGCCUCAGACAAAAUGAUAGAAUACAAAUUUCUUGACAAAACCCAGAAGGUAAUUGACAUUCUGCCUAAGUUUCCCUCUCCAGAACAUGUCACCUUCCUCCCUUGCAGUGGUUGACACUCAUAAAAACUAUAUACUCUUUUUCUCAACUCCAGACCUUUAAAUAUACAGCUCUUUCUCCAAGAAAUCUUCCAUUACUUUUUUGCCCACUCUCCUAUCUUCCUAAAAAUAACCUUUACCAUUUCUGUGAAAGAUAUGUCAACAAAAUGGAGACAGAGAAUAUAUUUUGAGUCACAUAUAAGGAUAUUUAAACAUAUUAUUUCUAUCACAAAGACCUUGGAAAUAACAGAAUCCAAUGGGAAAAAAUUCAAAUCUAAUAUAAAUUCAUUAAAUGAAUCUUCCAAAUACUCAUUAUUGUCAUAUGGAUUUAUAUCAAAUGAUUUGUCUUACUGUGUGAUUUUUUUAAUUAAGGCUAAUUCUAUAGACUCAAUGUAAGUGGAAGACUUCAGCAAUCAUCUGAUUAUUUCAGGAAAAAUAGUUAUUUCUUGAAAACAUCUAGUUAAUGAUGGCAAAAUAUUGGGUUUAUUUGUUGCAUUAAGUAAUUGUCUUACUUUCUUUUCUUAUUUAAUAUCUGUAGAUAUAGGAUCAUAGUUUUUCAUAAAGCUCAAAAGUUUUCUAUCUUAAAUAUGAGGACACCGAGGCACCCCAUAUCUGACUAAUUGAUGACCUAUUUGGCAAGGCUUCUGAAAUAUUCAAGGCUUUUGACUGUGAGGGUUGGGGUAAUAAAAAUAUUCUGGAAUUUAUCAUGAUAAUUGCAUAACUUUGUCAAUAUAAAUAUAAAUAUGACAGAAUUGUACAGUUAUAAUGAUGAAUUUUAUGGCUUGUGAAUUACAUCUCAAUAUAAAAUAAAAAGGUAUUGAUUUAGGGAAGGGGGGGGGGAAUGCUGGGGAGUGAUACUGGCCAGAUUAUAUUGUUAUAUUGUGUGGAUGUAUGAAUAUGUAACAACAAAUUCCAUCAUUAUGAACAACUAUAAUGCACCAAUAAAUAUGUGUAAAAAUGGAGAAAACUAUGUUAUAUGCAUUUAUGAAUGACAAAUUAUACUGCAAUAUCAUGCAUAGCUACAAUGCACUAAAAACAAAAAUAAAUAAAUAAAUAACUAUUGAUGUAGAAGGUAGUAAGUUGUAAAUAAAUAAUCUAAAUGGUUACUGUUAUUAUAAACAUUUUAUAGUUUUGUACUGUAAAAGUGAAAACAUUUGAAUUAAUACUAAAAAUGAAAAUGCUCUCUGGCAACAACUUUAGUAGUUACAUUUCAGCAGGCUCUGUAUUAUUUGCUAUAAUAUUAUAAUCUAUUUUCAAGUUUGGAUUUUUAAAUUAUAUCUGGUCUUCAAAAAUGGAUACUGGAAGGAAAAGUUUGCACAAAACCUUAUUAUAACUGUUUUUUUUCACUCACAGAUAGAUAUUAGCCAGUCCUCCUUAUCCUAAACUUUUUCUCUUAUCGUGCCUUUCAGCCAUUGAGAAUUGCUUAUUUGAAAAGAAAAGGAUUUUGUGCUAUCUCCCUUAAUUUUCUCUUCUCUUUGGAAUAGUAAAUUUUUAAAAAUGGAUUUUUUUUGCUACACAAUGUUGAGCACACUCAUUUCUGCUAUGUUUCACAGCCGCAUGAAAUCUCCAGUCACUUACAAAAGACAAAGGGCCUUUGGCUGUGACUCUGUGUUAAGCAUCCCUACUGUCACCAGGAAAAACUUAGCUCUCCUUAUCCUUGAGAGUAACAACCUUUGGAGGGUGGAGCCACAAAUAAGAAUUCUAUUACAAUAACAUUUUUUCUUUCAUAACAUGGCAUUGAACUUAAAAUACACAGAACAGGGAAGAUGACAGUAUUUGUGAAACUCAACAAAUAUUCUCAUUGAGAGAUCAAGGAAUUAGGAUAGCAAAACAAAUAAAAGCAAGCAAAGAAAAUCCAACAACAACACUGACUACAUCCAAAACAAAACUAAGUGGCAAAGUGCGCUCUUGCACCCCUAUCCCCUAAACCUACUGCAGAGCAUCCUUUGUUGAUCCUGGAGACCAUGUAGCUGACUGGGGGCUGUAGCUCACGGCAGCUACAGCCUUCUGGGUUUGUGUUUGAAGUUUUCCACGAUGUAAAAGUUUAAAAUAAUAUAAAAUAUAGUAAAAUACUUUAAGGAAAAAAUGGAAUAUGAAAGAGAAAUUAAUAAAUAUCUUGUUUCUGAGUGCUGUAAUAAGACUUGGCUUUAUGUAAAUUGCUGCUAAAGAUAUGCAAUAUAUAAAUUCACUAAAAUGAGUAGUUGGAACACUCAUUUAUGAAUAAGUGAAAAUUCAUUUAUCCAUUGUUUUACACAAAUAUUGCUGGUGUUUGCUUGGAGUCUGGAAAACUGGAUUCUAUUGUUUUAUCUCCCCUGAAUAUCUAUAUAAACCUGGGUGAACUACCAACUGCUGUGUGCUAUUAAUAUAACUGUGAGGAGUGGGGGGCUAGAAAACCAUCAGACCUCUGGUUUAGAGAAAAUAGUCUUAUUUUUAUUCCAUCCCACUUAAAAAAAAAACCUGAAGGAAAACUAAGGAAAAUUGAGUUAGCAACCAGUUAGUUGCACACUUCUUAAAAGCAGAAAUUACAACAAACUUAUUCAGUACUUUGUUCUCAGUUCAUUUUUUAUAAUUAAUUAUGCAAACUUAAGGGAUAUGGUGUCAUAAUUUUAUUCAUGUAUACAACGUGUAAAAAUCAAAUCAGGGUAUUAACAUUUCCCUUUCCUUAAACAUUUAAGCAAUUUUUAAAGGGUAAUAAUUGUACAUAUUUGUAUGAUACAGUGUGAUAUUUCAAUACACGGAUACAAUAUGUACUGAUAAAAUCAGGGUAAUUAACAUUCUCAUCUCUUUAUCAUUUCUUUGUGUUUGGAGACUUCAAGCUCUUCUAGUUAUUUAUAAAAUAUAUUAUAUUCCCAAUUCUUAUUACAAUACUUGGUACCCUGAAAAUGUGGAAGGAUGAUGGAUAGGAGGAUGGAUGAAAUAAAUGAAUGAAUUUUAUGUAAGCAAAUUCGAUGUAUGUAUAAGUUAAUUUCAAUAUUGUCAUUUUAGACUACAAAUAUUUAUAUCUAAGUUUUGGUAAUUUGCAGGGGGUCUACAGUUCUAUUUCUUUUCUGUCUAGACUAGUGGUUUUUAAAUGGAGCAUACAUAGAAUUGCCUGGAAGUUUCCUUGAUGGAUUGCUGAACUCCAUCCCCAAUUCUUGAAUUUCCUUUUCAAACAAGCUCCCAGUUUGUCCUUAAUGCUGUUGAUCUGAGGAACAAAGUUUAAAUUGUAUUAAUAAAGCCAGAUAUUCUCACAAACCAUUCCAUUAAAAUUAUUGGGAAACUUUUAAAAUAUUAAGAUUUCUGUAACUCCUCUUACACCUGCAUCACAAUUUCUGAAGAUGAAUCUCAGAAAUGUACAUUUUAAGAAACUCCUUGAGUUAUUUUUAGGUACACACAAUAAAGUUCGAGAAUACCUGGAUUAGUUGCUGUCCAAUAGAACUCUGCAGUAAUGGAUGUGGCCCAUAUUUGCAUGGUCUACCGUGGAAGCAAUUAGCCACAGUGACUAUGAAGACAUGAAAUGAAGUGGCUAUUGUGACUGGGGAACUGAAUUUUAAUUUUACUUUUAUUUUAUGUAACUUAAACAUGGAAACUUUCAUUUAAAUUACCACUUGGUGCAAAUGUUAGAAAAAGGCUUAGAUUUUCAAACUUUUUUUUUUUGAAAGUAGAGUUUUCUUCAGUGGUAGCAGAAGGGGAGACCAAGAGUAUGGUGUUCUUAGUAUCCCACUCCCCAGUCAGAGAAACCCCUCUCUGAUUUUUUGGGCUUUCAGUUGUUAUAUUUUUGGGGCUUUCAGUCCUGAUAAUUGAAGUCCAUGUCCAUUCUGAAAUAGCCAUAAAUCUGUGAAAGAAUCAAGUGCUCUGACACGUUUUCAAAUGAAUGGCUCAUACUUAGCUUGACGAAGUUAUUAUUUGUCUGCCAAGCAGUCAUAGUUUGAGUGUACCUUAAUGUCAUCUUCUCAAUGGAUUCCCAACAUACUCACCAAGUUACUACCUCAUUAAUUGUCAUAAUGACUUCAUAAACAGAAAAAAGGCUUUGGGUCAUUAUCCCCAUUUCACUUGCAGGAAUACUGACUUGAAGGAAGUAGGUGCUUGCCAAACCCUCCCCAAGCAACUCCCCAAUGGAAUGUUAUUUUUCACAUACUUGUCAUUCUCCAUGAAUAAGUAUUUAAGGUUCUUAUACUUGAGGAUACCUUGAUGCUAUUUUAAAAAGCAAUUUGCAGGCUGGGAUUGUUGCUCAGUGAUAGAGUGCUUGCCUAGCAUGUGUGAGGCACUGGGUUUGAUCCUCAGUACCACAUAAAAAUGAAAAAUAAAAUAAAGGCAUUAUGUUUAUCUACAACUCAAAAAAAUAAAAAUAAAAAUAAAGCAAUUUGCUCUCUGUAGCACCUAACUACCCAGAAGGAUGGCACUUGGGCCCUGGAAGAAAUGGGGCAAACCCAAACUAGACUCAGACAUCUUAGAAUUAUAGGCUGUAUUCCUAGGCCUCUGAGGUUUCAUGGCACAGCCCAUGGGCUACAAAAAUAAAUUAUCAUGGAGAGAUGUCUGAACUAAUUACAUUUCUUUUUCUCCAAAUCACAGUAGGAGUAGGAAGAAUAUUUUGGGGUGGAGUAAGAAACAGGAGAUUGGAGAUAGGGUAAUAAGAAUCUCUCUCCAAAUGACAAUUUUCAGGUCUUCCCCAGGUGAUUUAGUUUUAUAGCAAGAUUUAUGGGGCACCAUCCUCAACUAGAUAGAUUGAGACAAGACCAUAGGCCAUGGCAAAAUCAAAGGCAUGAAAUAGUAAUUAGCUACAAGUAGCCCAAGGAGACUCUAAAAUGCUGUCAAAGUCCAAAAUUUGCAAAUCCAGCUGUAACUUCACUUUGCUUUACACAAUGUAAUUUGAGUUACCUACACGAAGCCUAAAGGAAUGUAAAGCAAACAUGUCCUGGAUGAGUUUACUCUGCUAGGAGGUGGGAAACCCAUGCUGGCCCCUUAGUUUUCUCCAAACCAUAGCUUUCUCUCCUUAAGAGGUGAGGUGAAGGGAUUCUGGUGGAUAUAGAGGGGUGGAAAAGGAAGGAGAGGGAGUUGAGUGCAUAAAAUUGGGAUGGCACUCGCUGUGUUUAAAAUAGAGAAUACCUCCAGAAAAGAGGCCCUGGGUAGACUUUAUAUACUCAAUAGACUUUAAGUGCCUGAGGACACGGUACAAACUUGUAUCACGUUACCAGACAGGCCCCCUCACGGCAUCAGUGUCGGCAGAGGCUCAUGAAUAUGUAAAUAUUAUAUGUAUCUUGGAAACAUGCUUGACAAGAGAAUAGCUGAAAUGAACUGAUUCUAGUUAUAAGCCCAUCAGCCUGCCAUUCUUUAUGUUUGAACAGGCAGGCUAUUGCUAGGUGACAGAUCAUUAAGGCUAUCUACUCAGUCAGCGGAAAUGAAGAAAUAAUUUGUUCCUAAUAACCUUCAGAUGACCUCCCAAGCAAAAGGGAGUCUUUAAAGUGCUGUCUCUGCCGAUACAUGUCAGGCGGGCGGGUGGGGUU